rnacentral:rRNA from 1 species
GAGGUGUGAAAUCCCUGGGCUCAACCUAGGAACUGCAUUUCAAACUGGAUAACUUGAGUAUGUCAGAGGGUAGUUGGAAUUUCCCCGUGUAGCAGUGAAAAUGCGUAGAUAUGGGAAGGAACAUCAGUGGCGAAGGCGAAUACCUGGGAUAAUACUGACGCUGAGGUGCGAAAGCGUGGGGAGCAAACGGGAUUAGAUACCCUGGUAG